CAUGCAGAGAACUUUCCAGAGAUGGAUUGGUGCCUUCGGGAACUCUGACGCAGGUGCUGCAUGGCUGUCGUCAGCUCGUGUCGUGAGAUGUUGGGUUAAGUCCCGUAACGAGCGCAACCCUUGUCCUUAGUUACCAGCACGUUAUGGUGGGCACUCUAAGGAGACUGCCGGUGACAAACCGGAGGAAGGUGGGGGAUGACGUCAAGUCAUCAUGGCCCUUACGGCCUGGGCUACACACGUGCUACAAUGGUCGGUACAAAGGGUUGCCAAGCCGCGAGGUGGAGCUAAUCCCAAUAAAACCGAUCGUAGUCCGGAUCGCAGUCUGCAACUCGACUGCGUGAAGUCGGAAUCGCUAGUAAUCGUGAAUCAGAAUGUCACGGUGAAUACGUUCCCGGGCCUU
rnacentral:rRNA from 1 species